GGGGGUGUAGCUCAGUGGUAGAGCGUAUGCUUAACAUGCACGAAGCCGCAGGUUCGAUACCUGGUACCUCCA